AGCCGCCGCGGGAACACCGGCGGCCCGAGUGGUGAUCGUGAUUAUUGGGUCUAAAGGGUCCGUAGCCGGUUUGGUCAGUCCUCCGGGAAAUCUGAUAGCUCAACUAUUAGGCUUUCGGGGGAUACUGCCAGACUUGGAACCGGGAGAGGUAAGAGGUACUACAGGGGUAGGAGUGAAAUCUUGUAAUCCCUGUGGGACCACCUGUGGCGAAGGCGUCUUACCAGAACGGGUUCGACGGUGAGGGACGAAAGCUGGGGGCACGAACCGGAUUAGAUACCCGGGUAGUCCCAGCCGUAAACGAUGCUCGCUAGGUGUCAGGCAUGGCGCGACCGUGUCUGGUGCCGCAGGGAAGCCGUGAAGCGAGCCACCUGGGAAGUACGGCCGCAAGGCUGAAACUUAAAGGAAUUGGCGGGGGAGCACAACAACGGGUGGAGCCCUGCGGUUUAAUUGGACUCAACGCCGGACAACUCACCGGGGGCGACAGCAAUAUGUAGGCCAAGCUGAAGACUUUUGCCUGAAUCGCUGAGAAGAGGUGCAUGG
rnacentral:rRNA from 1 species